rnacentral:rRNA from 1 species
CAGUAGCCGCGGGAAUACGUAGGUGGCAAGCGUUGUCCGGAAUUAUUGGGCGUAAAGGGCUCGCAGGCGGUUUCUUAAGUCUGAUGUGAAAGCCCCCGGCUCAACCGGGGAGGAUCAUUGGAAACUGGGAAACUUGAGUGCAGAAGAGGAGAGUGGAAUUCCACGUGUAGCGGUGAAAUGCGUAGAGAUGUGGAGGAACACCAGUGGCGAAGGCGACUCUCUGGUCUGUAACUGACGCUGAGGAGCGAAAGCGUGGGGAGCGAACAGGAUUAGAUACCCGUGUAGUCCCUGUCUCUUAUAC